CUGCUGCCUUCCGUAGGAGUUUGGACCGUAUCUCAGUUCCAAUGUGGCCGUUUACCCUCUCAGGUCGGCUACCCAUCGUUGACUUGGUGGGCCGUUACCUCACCAACUAUCUAAUGGGACGCGAGCCCAUCUCUGUCCAGUAACCUUUUUACCCCAAUACGAUGCCGUAUCGUGGUCUUAUUCGGUAUUAGCACCUAUUUCUAAGUGUUAUCCCGAUGACAGAGGCAGGUUGCUCACGCGUUACUCACCCGUCCGCCGCUAACGUAUUG
rnacentral:rRNA from 1 species